rnacentral:rRNA from 1 species
UACGUAGGGCGCAAGCGUUGUCCGGAAUUAUUGGGCGUAAAGAGCUCGUAGGCGGCUUGUCGCGUCGGAUGUGAAAGCUCGGGGCUUAACUCCGGGUCUGCAUUCGAUACGGGCAGGCUAGAGUUCGGUAGGGGAGAUCGGAAUUCCUGGUGUAGCGGUGAAAUGCGCAGAUAUCAGGAGGAACACCGGUGGCGAAGGCGGAUCUCUGGGCCGAUACUGACGCUGAGGAGCGAAAGCGUGGGGAGCGAACAGG